UCGGAGGGACCAUGUAUACAAUGAAACUAGCUCAAAAAAGGACCACCGAUCCAAAACUUUAGUGGCGUGGACAUUUUUUCUAGAAAUGCUAACCACAAGGACCAUUUUUGCAAUUUUGUCAAAUUUUAAAUAAACAUUAAGCAAUAUAAUCUACUAUCCUAAUAAAUAAGAGCUUUAUUGCCACGGGGCAUUCUCUAAGCCCCUCCCACUCAAUUUUUCCCGCUCGAAUAUGUAAAGUAAAAUACCAGCACUGCCCUUGUUCUUAGCCCCUAUCCUUACGUUAAGAUUACGAAAAACUCCAUUUUACCUUUAAUCCUUCUCUGAUUUUUCUUCUUCUCCAUAAAAUCAAAAUCAAAAUUCAAACUCUUCCAAAUGAAUUCAACAUGUUACGUUUUCCCCUAAUCUUCAAUAUCAAUCAUUUUCUUCCUCUCUUUUUCUCCUGCUUCCAUCGACCUUAAUGGUGAAACCUCCACCCAGGUAUACUAGGGCUUUAGAUAAAUUGUGAUUACUCCCUCAUCAAUGGUCAAGAGGACGCCUAUAUGCCCUUCGACACAACAAUUUUUGUUUGGGUAAACGCACCAUAUGGAAACAAUCUCCACCACAAAGAGAACAUGAAUCAUGGUCAAUUUGCAUUUACAACUAACGAAUCAAGCAACUACUUUGCAUGUUUUUGGGUAGAUGGUCAUCAUCAAGGUACUAAGGGUCUAACUGUAAGUCUUGACUGGCGAAUUGGUAUUGCUACAAAUGAUUGGGAGUCCGUUGCAAAGAGAGAAAAGAUUGAUAUGGGUUGUUAAAAUUUGGAGUUUAGACGUGGCAUUGAAACUUUCAUAUUCGAUAAGCUUCAUAAAUUUGCCACUUUUAAGAGGGAUGACAGUUUGGGCAUAAAAAAACAAUGAAUAAGAGUCGGGGUUGGAUACGACCUAAAAUAUCCAACACAUGUUGGUGGGAAAUGCAGGUUGCUACUUGGUGUCACUCACUUGCACCGGAGAUGAUGAUGUUAUUGAAAAGAACUCUGUUUUUAUCGAAACUUCAAUUUAUUUAUAAAUUUUGCAAAUAUAUUUAAUUUGUCAGGUUAAUAUCAAUAUAACACGCUCACAAUUUAUAACCAACUUUUUUGUAGCAUCUUUUAAUCAUUUUUUAGCAAAUCACACUUCAUCUAUCAUA